rnacentral:rRNA from 1 species
UUUUUAUAAUUUUAUUAUAAAUAAAAUCUGCUCCAUGAAAAUAAAUAGCCGCAGAAUUUUUACUGUGCUAAGGUAGCAUAAUCAUUAGUCUUCUAAUUAAAGACCAGAAUGAAAGAUUUAACACUUAAAAUUCUUUUUUAUUUAAAUCUAUUUAACUUAAACUAAAUAUAAAAAUGUAUUUAUAUAAAAAAAAGACGAUAAGACCCUACUGAACUUUACUAUAGUUUAGCUGGGGAAGCUAAUUAAACAUUAUUUUAAUUUAAAUCUAUAUAAUUAACACCUAAUAUAAUUAAAAUAAACAAGUUACCAUAGGGAUAACAGCGUAAUAUUAUUCUAAAGCUCUUAUUAAAAAUAAAGAUUACGACCUCGAUGUUGAAUUAAUUUUACUAAAUAACGCAAUUGUUAUAAAAGUAGGUCUGUUCGACCUUUAAAUAAUUACA